rnacentral:rRNA from 1 species
UACAGAGGUCUCAAGCGUUGUUCGGAUUCAUUGGGCGUAAAGGGUGCGUAGGCGGCGCGGUAAGUCGGGUGUGAAAUCUCGGAGCUUAACUCCGAAACUGCAUUCGAUACUGCCGUGCUUGAGGACUGGAGAGGAGACUGGAAUUUACGGUGUAGCGGUGAAAUGCGUAGAUAUCAGGAGGAACACCGGUGGCGAAGGCGGGUCUCUGGGCCGAAACUGGACGCUGAGGAGCGAAAGCGUGGGGAGCAAACAGG